rnacentral:lncRNA from 11 species
UGCUCACUAAAAAUUAAUGAGGUGGAUGAGGAUGUGGCAGCAGGCACAAGGGAUGUACAGAAUCCAGAAGAGCCUUCAGCAGGAAAUAAGCAAUGAAAUAUCCAUAUGGCUGGAAUCUUAUGACAUUGAGUUGCAAAAUACAGCUUUGUUAGAGGAAGACAUUAUCUGGUGGGGAAGCUAUUCCAGCUCUGUCUUGAGGAUGCCAGCACAACACUGGGGACAUUGAGAUCCAACAUUG